rnacentral:lncRNA from 1 species
GGAUGAUUGAUCGUGCCCGCCAGCUGCCUAAUAUCAUAAUUAACAAAGUUGCUACCGUGUCUGAGAAGUUUAAUCGGAAAAUUUUUUGCCAACAGUGUGAUGCUGUUGUUACCCAUAAAGAUCAGAAGCAGGGCAAAGUCGACUUUUGGACUAAUGGAGCUGCAGAACUAUGUGGGCAGAAUAAGAAGUAGAGCACCUGAAUGGAUAAU